rnacentral:tRNA from 1 species
GCCUGGGUGGCUCAGUCAGUUAAGCAUCCGACUUUGGCUCAGGUCAUGAUCUCACGGUUUGUGGGUUCAAGCCCCACCUUGGGCU